GUUAAAAAGCUCGUAGUUGGAUUUCUGUUGAGGAUGACCGGUCCGCUCUUUGAGCACGUAUCUGGUUCAGCCUUGGCAUCCUCUUGGGGAACGCUACUGUGCUUGAUUGCAUGGGGCGGUAUUCAAGACUUUUACUCUGAGGAAAUUAGAGUGUUCACUGCAAGCGUUAGCAAUUGAAUACAUUAGCAUGGAAUAAUAAUAUAGGACCUUGGUACUAUUUUGUUGGUUUCUAGAACUAAGGUAAUGAUUAAUAGGGACAAUUGGGGGCAUUCGUAUUAACGCGUCAGAGGUGGAAUUCUUAGAUUGCGUUACGACGAACUACUGCGAAAGCAUUUGCCAAGGAUGUUUUCAUUGAUCAAGAACGAAAGUAUGGGGAUCGAAGACGCUUAGAUACCGUCGUAGUCUAUACCAUAAACUAUGCCAACUAGAGAUUGGAGGUCGUUCUCUUUAUGACUCCUUCAGCACCUUAUGAGAAAUCAAAGUCUUUGGGUUCCGGGGUGAGUAUGGUCGCAAGGCUGAAACUUAAAGGAAUU
rnacentral:rRNA from 1 species